rnacentral:rRNA from 1 species
GGUUAAGCGACUAAGCGUACACGGUGGAUGCCUAGGCAGUCAGAGGCGAUGAAGGGCGUGCUAAUCUGCGAAAAGCGUCGGUAAGGUGAUAUGAACCGUUAUAACCGACGAUACCCGAAUGGGGAAACCCAGUGCAAUUCGUUGCACUAUUGCAUGGUGAAUACAUAGCCAUGCAAGGCGAACCGGGGGAACUGAAACAUCUAAGUACCCCGAGGAAAAGAAAUCAACCGAGAUUCCCCCAGUAGCGGCGAGCGAACGGGGAGGAGCCCAGAACCUGAAUCAGCGUAUGUGUUAGUGGAAGCGUCUGGAAAGUCGCACGGUACAGGGUGAUAGUCCCGUACACAAAAAUGCAUAUGUUGUGAGUUCGAUGAGUAGGGCGGGACACGUGACAUCCUGUCUGAAUAUGGGGGGACCAUCCUCCAAGGCUAAAUACUCCUGACUGACCGAUAGUGAACCAGUACCGUGAGGGAAAGGCGAAAAGAACCCCGGCGAGGGGAGUGAAACAGAACCUGAAACCGUGUACGUACAAGCAGUGGGAGCACCUUCGUGGUGUGACUGCGUACCUUUUGUAUAAUGGGUCAGCGACUUAUAUUUUGUAGCAAGGUUAACCGAAUAGGGGAGCCGCAGGGAACCCGAGU